rnacentral:rRNA from 1 species
GAGUUUGAUCAUGGCUCAGAAUCAACGCUGGCGGCGCGCCUAACACAUGCAAGUCGAACGAGAAAGGGGAGCAAUCCCUUAGUAAAGUGGCGUACGGGUGAGUAACACGUGGGUUAUCUACCUUCUGAUGGGGAAUAACCCUGGGAAACCGGGGCUAAUACCGCAUAAGUCCGAGAGGAGAAAGCAGCAAUGCGUCGGAAGAGGCUGCCCGCGGCCGAUUAGCUAGUUGGUAAGGUAAAAGCUUACCAAGGCAAAGAUCGGUAGCCGGCCUGAGAGGGCACACGGCCACACUGGCACUGAAACACGGGCCAGACUCCUACGGGAGGCAGCAGUGGGGAAUCUUUGCACAA